GAAGAGCUAUUGCCAAUUUCCACCCUCUCUCUGGAAACUGUCAUUAGGGUUAGGGAAACUGUCAUGAGAUCUGCAUAUUUUAGAUAGAGGCUGCUUGCCUUAUUUGGGCACCUAAUGAAAAAGACAUGGAGGCCAGGUGCGGUGGCUCAUGUCUGUAAUCCCAGCACUUUGGGAGGCCAAGGCGAGUGGAUCACCUGAGGUCAGGAGUUCGAGACCAGCCUGACCAACAUGGCAAAACCCCGUCUGUACUAAAAGUGCAAACACAAAGGGAACUGCGUGGCUUGUUUCUACCUGAACAUUGUCAAGUGAUUUCAUCCUUUGAAACACAGUUGUGAAGUGUGUCCAGCAGUCUGAGAACAAGAAGAAGAAGAAAAUCUAAUCCUUCAGGGUGUCUGUGUGCCAGCCCUGCUCUCAGCACUUCCCAUGUGGAACUCCUUUACUUCUCCUAACAACUCCAUGACAUGGGUUAGACUGUGAUUGUUCCCAUAUUGUUGGUAGGGAAACUGAGGCAUGCAGGUGUUACAGAGCUCUCUCAAGUGGCAAGCUUUCUGGGUGGUUACAGAGUGGCAGAGCUGGGGUAUCCCAUGAUGUCACCACACUGCUAUAUGGAAAAGAACAUUAAUCGAGCACCUACGUGCUUGAUUCUCUUAAUUCUGUGACUGAACUCUCAAAACACCCUGGGUAAGCACUAUCAUCUCCUAUUUUCACAAGUGAAAAAACUGGGAUUCAAAAAAAUUAAGUGACUUACCAAAUAUUACAGAGCUAGUAAGCCAAGACUUGAACACUGAGAUGGAAUUCUACCUUUUAAGGUGGCUAAGCAACAGAAGGAUGUUCCUUUCCCAAGGGGGUAAGAAGCAGUGGCCAUGUUCAGCACAAUUGUCCUAUCACAGGUUCAUGGCAGGGACCGAGCAGUGAGGAUGGGCACUGCCCUGUGUCCUAGCAGAGGGCUGCCUUCUGGCUCCCCAGCCUUGGCCAGCAGCCCUUCUAUCUUCAUGCCAUGACCUAUUUUUGUUCACCCAGUUAGUGUAUGGCCUAUUUCUUUCCUUAAGAAUUACUUCAUAACUUUCACAGAGUAAUAGCACAUGCUGAGCACAGCAUUCAUGAACUUGGACACACGCACACAAAAUGUCCCUUUAAAUUCACAGAGCAGUAUCUGAGAUCCAGGUAGAAAGACCAAAAGGAAAAUUAAGAACAGACUCUCAGACCUGCCUUCCCUUUGCAUUCAGAGCACUGCGUGUUUUGAAAUAUACAAAUAGUGGGAAACGAAAUCUUUGUUCUGGAUGCAGUUAUAAUUUGGAAAGCGAGGAAAUAAAUUAUAACAAGGGGAAAAAACAGAAUACUACUAAAGUCAUGCCGUGUGACUUCUGAAGCUAGCUCCUAAGAAGUCCUUGCAGCUUCUGCCUGCGACUCUUAGAACACUUGCUUUGAAGGAUGCCAGAUGCUGUCUUAAAAGUCUGAGCACUCUGAAACCAUCAUGCUGUGAGGAAGCCCAAGCUAACCACAUGGGCAAAAAAGAUGCCCUCUGACUGCCACCAUUUGAGACACUCUAAUUAAGAACUGCCUCAUUGAGCCCAUGAGGCCCUGUGAAUGAUAAUAAUAAAUUGUUUUUAACCACUAUGUUUUUGGAUUUGUUAUAAGUUUAUAGAUAACAAGAAAAAGUUAUAUUAGCAUGGUAAUAAAAUUAUGGAUAUGUGUAA
ensembl:lncRNA LINC00964 long intergenic non-protein coding RNA 964